UCCUACGGGACGCAGCAGUAGGGAAUCUUCCACAAUGGACGAAAGUCUGAUGGAGCAACGCCGCGUGAGUGAAGAAGGGUUUCGGCUCGUAAAGCUCUCUUGGUAGUGAAGAAAGAUAGAGGUAGUAACUGGCCUUUCUUUGACGGUAAUUACUUAGAAAGUCACGGCUAACUACGUGCCAGCAGCCGCGGUAAUACGUAGGGGGCAAGCGUUGUCCUGCUUUAUUGGGCGUAAAGCGAGUGCAGGCGGUUUCA
rnacentral:rRNA from 1 species